GACUAACACAUGCAAGUCGAACGGCAGCACAGUGUCUGGCAACAGACAUGGGUGGCGAGUGGCGGACGGGUGAGUAAUACGUAGGAAUCUACCCUAGAGUGGGGGGUAACCCGGGGAAACCCGGGCUAAUACCGCAUAAUCUCCACGGAGCAAAGCCGGGGUCGUAAGACCUGGCGCUCUAGGAUGAGCCUACGUCGGAUUAGCUUGUUGGUGAGGUAAAAGCUUACCAAGGUGACGAUCCGUAGCUGGUCUGAGAGGACGACCAGCCACACUGGGACUGAGACACGGCCCAGACUCCUACGGGAGGCAGCAGUGGGGAAUUUUGGACAAUGGGGGCAACCCUGAUCCAGCGAUGCCGCGUGUGUGAAGAAGGCCUUCGGGUUGUAAAGCACUUUUAGUGGGGAAGAAAGGCUUGAGGCUAAUACCCUUGAGCGUUGACAUUAUCCACAGAAAAAGCACCGGCUAACUCUGUGCCAGCAGCCGCGGUAAUACAGAGGGUGCUAGCGUUAAUCGGAAUUACUGGGCGUAAAGCGCGUGUAGGCGGAUAUUUAAGUCGGGUGUGAAAUCCCUGGGCUCNACCUGGGAAUUGCAUUCGAUACUGAGUAUCUAGAGUAUGGUAGAGGAGAGUGGAACUUC
rnacentral:rRNA from 1 species